GGAAACCGAAACGCUGCAAUGUUUUUUUGUAGAAAACUGCUUUUAUGUUUAUACUGGUUUUCUUUGACUUUUAGAGACACCAUCAAUAUACAAGUUAUAGCCUACUCCAUGGCUGAUGUAUUGCACUACUAGGGCCUACUUUUAUUAUUCCAUUGUAUUAGCCUACUCAACAUUACAGACAACAAUCUGUUUUAUUUCCAGACAAAACUGAAGACCAGGAACUGGAACCUGGGAACCUGGAAGAUGAUGUUGUCCUGAAGGACACAAUUCAGGCAGCAGCAUGGUGCCAGUUACAGUCUUUCAAGGACAGCGUUUCUCUCCCAGAGGUCAUUGGGAUGGAAGGUUGGGAUCAACACAGAGCAAAUCCCAUGACGGCGGGGAUGAGGAAGAACCGUGGAAACCAUUCCAAUUCUCAUUCAGAUUACAUACUGACUAUGAACUGUUCUGUGUGGAGAUGAUGGACAGGAGAAACCUGAAGGUGUUUGCCUCUUUUGAGUCAAACACCUCUCCCCCUCCCCAUCCCCCUCCCCGUGACGCCUGCGCCACACGACUCCAAUGUAGUCUGAUGAUGCAGCAUAAUGGCGGCGCUUGGCAGCUAUGGCGGCGAUGACGGCGAUGUCGGGCGACAGAGCGUGAAGCGAGAGUGGCGUCCACCUCACUGAGGAAGGCAUCAGUGUGUUCCCCCCCCCCCCCCCGUUGAGACUUUGUUUGUUCUACUCUUUAUUGAUUUAUCUUUUAUGUUAAUAGUUUACAAUCUAUUUUUUGUAGUUGUUUAUUUUUUAAUUGUUUUGUAUAAUAAAAAGACUGUUGUUAGUG